rnacentral:lncRNA from 1 species
AAAAAUCAAUAUAAUUUAUAUAUAUCACACGUUAAUGCCACAUUCAUUUUUUAUUAGCUUAGUGUUUCUUAAACCAAUAAUUCCACAUCACAGAAUACUUUUCCAGGAUAUUUCCAAUGAUUAUAAUAUCAUUAAACUCAUUUUUUAUUUCAUUGGGUCAAAGAAUCUCAACUCAAAUAAGUUCUUCUUUUCCAUCCCUUUUAGGUGGUUGGGAGAGAGGAAAAACUACACCAAUUAAAAAAGAGAAAAUACAUUUGUCCAUUUGGAGGGGCAUAAAUUCCAAAAGUCUGUUUCUUCCCAACUCCCAAAUAAAACAUUAUAAAAUCAAAGUUGAAAAUACAAAGCCAACCCAUAUCCCAUCUCCAUCAUCAUCAUCUUCUUCAUCUUCUUCCAUGGAUGAUGAUAGGAGAAGCUCUUAUGGAGGAAGCUCAUCCAUGGAGAUAGAGAAAUAUUAUGGGCCAUCGUCAAAGAGCCAAGUUUCUGUGAAGAAAGGGAAAAGCACUUCUGGGUCAUCUUCAAAAUCAUGGAGAUUUGUUGCUGAUCCUGAGUUUCAAAGAAAGAAGAGAGUAGCAAGUUACAAGAUGUAUUCUGUUGAAGGCAAAAUGAAAGGAUCUUUUAGAAAAAGCUUCAGAUGGCUUAAGGAUAAGUACACCCAAAUGCUAUAUGGCUGGUGGUGAGUUCUUUAAGUCUAUUUGUGUUAAGUUCUUGAUUGUUGUUGCUGUUCUUCUUCUUUUCAUCUGUUUGUUUUGGAGUUUUUGAUAUAUUGUUGAAAUGUAAACAAGUCAAUCAGUCAAACUAUGGAAAUAAAAUCUUCUUUUUUUUCAAGUCUUUCUUUUUCUGUGAUUGUUACAUUUGGAAUAUGUUGAUUGGUGAGUUGUGUUUUUCAUUUUAUUAUUUGAAUAGGUCAGUAUAGUUUGAAACCAAACUAUGUUCAUAAUAUGCAACUUGUUAUGUAAAGAUAAGAUGAUAUUAUUUUGUUCCCAUUUUAUUUGAGCAUUCCAUUUGUGAAAUGUUUCUAUGUCCACUAUUUUUCUCAGCCACUCAUUUUGUUAAACAAAUAUCAAAAUCUAAAGAAAAUAAGAAACAAACAAACUAAAGCUAAACAAAAGUGAGAAUCCAUUGUAAUUGUAAAUGAAAAUAUUAAAAAUACUAUAUACUUUAGGGAAAUUGUAUCGAAUGAAAGAAAAAUUAGACUUUUUUUUUUUUCAUAUUGCAAAUAUGACAAAUAUGACAAAUAAUUUGCGAUAUUAGACAGCUAUCAGCUAUUAGAAAGUUAUUUAGUUUUGAAUUUGAUAUUUUUGUAAUUUAAAAAAUGCAGUGAGAUGAGCUUAUUAUUAUAAUUCUUUUUGCUACUUUUACGAGCGCCUCUCAUUUUUCAUGCAUUAUAAGUUUCCCCUAUCUUUACAUCCCACCAAACUGUUCGAUGGUAACUUACCAUGGACAGAUCACAAUACUUUAAUAUUUUUUAAUGUGAACGAUUAAAAAUGAUGCACCCAUAUCUGAAAGAUAGCGUUCUUAAGAGCUUGUGAUUUUUUUUUUCUUUUUUACAUUUUAUGUCUAGUUCAAUAAAUGUUAUAUCAUUAAAUGGUCCCUAUAGAAUUAAAAAGAAAGCCAAUAAUAUAUUUUAGAAUUGAUUCUAUCAUUAACAUGUUACUAAUCUAAGAUCCCCAUAGGAUUUCAAUAACUUCAUAUCAACAAAAUUUAUCUUUAUUUCAUUUAUAUUUUGUACAACCAAUCAACAAAGAAUUCAACAUCCAAUCUCACAAAAAAGAAAAAUACCCCUCAAUUACAUUAUUAAGUUGUGCUCACUUUAAGGACAGUAACGUAUAAAUCAUAGUUUUAUGAACUCAGCGUAAGUUUUCUACCAUUCAUUUGUCUAUAAGAAGUUAACAAAAUGCAUUAAAAGGAAGGCUACAAAACUUGCAGAAACAUGGUUAUGAUAAAUAUGGAGUUUGGGCAGUUAAUUUUGUUGGAUUAGAUUGGUUGUUUUACAAAAUCCAGCUUUAAUUCCACCAUGAUUUUAACCACAAACAAUCUGAAUCCGCAUCCCUUUUGGGUUGUCAUCAAAAUUGAUUUAUUUUUAGCAUAACAGAAAGGAAUUUGAGAAGAAAUUCAAUUUACUACAAAUGGUAGAAAGAAAGAAAGAAGCUCCAUUGAAAUGCAUUAAGCUCAAGCUUCUCCCACAACCUCUGUUUCUAUUCCCAUUAUUUUUUCCCUAUAUUCAAGCAUUCUGUUUCGCUCUCUUUCUUUGCAAAAACAGAUUCCAAAAACCCACAACCAUCCUCUUCUUCCUUUUCCUCAUUUUGUUGCAGAUUUUAACCAAAUCCUGCCUUUUUUUGUCUUCUUGUUCUUGUUCUUCCACCUUUCUGUUUUGUUUUGUUUUGUGUUAGGUUGAAAAAUAAAAAGAAGAAGAAGAACAAAAAAAGAAAAAAAAAGAAAAAAAACAGAGUAUUCAGGGAAUGAAGAGAUGAAAACAGAGUUCCUCUGUUGGGUUUUCUUUUCCUCUGUUUUUUAAAUGUUUUAGUCAUGGUGAGAAGCUUUCCGACGGAUGACAAUCCGUUAAUUCAUCCGGCGAUACCUCUGUUCCUUCUAGCGGCCGGAAUGGCAGCAGCUAUUUCCAUGAUCACGACGCUAUGUGGUGUUCGAUCUCGAAGAAGAUCGACGCCGUCCGAAGAUUCGUCUCAUGCCGCCGCAGACAACAAAACAGACGAAAAUGUUUCCCCAACAACAACGACACCGUUUCAGGCCGCAAACCCAUCUGGUGGAGAAGCAGAGAACGAGGGGGAAAUGAAAGAACUUCCCCUGCCUCCAAAAAUGCAACAAGUGGCGAGUACGAGCCCACCGAGCCAAAUAUCGAAAUCAGCAUCGGAGAGGAAAUUGAAUCAUAUGAGAAGCAUGAGCAUUAAAGUUCCUAGAAGUCUUUCGGUUGUGAGGAAUCAUUUGGAUGAAGGGAGACAGAGGAGGAAAGAGAGGAUUAAAGGGGAAGAUUCCAUUUGGACAAAGACAAUAAUUUUAGGGGAAAAAUGUAAAGUUUCAGAUGAAGAAGAUGGAAUCAUAUAUGAAGGAAAAGGGAAGAAGAUAACAGCUUAUCAUCCGAGAGCUCCUAGUUCGAUGUCGAUAUCAAUGUCGAGGCAGAAUUCCGCCGUUGAAGCUGAAGCUCUGCAAAGCUCAGAAGCAAAAUAAACCCAAGAAGAAGAAGAAGAAGAAGAAGAAGAAGAAGGAUACAAUUUUAAAAUCAAUGGCUGAUGAAAUUUGAAUGUGAUUUUGGUGAAUGUGUAGAUGAAUCUUUGUCAAUGAAUGGGUGUUGUCUCUUUCUCUUUCAUUUUUUAAGACUUUGCUGUUCAUUCUUUAUUUUCAUCAACUUAACAAGCUUUAGCCAUCAUCUAAAUUUUUUGGACUUUUUGUAUUUUCUUUAUUUUCUUUUUUUAAGUUUCAAUACUCUAUUUGGUCAUAAAAUAUAUUAUAGGUUAUAUUUCAAAUUAUAGAGGUUUCAAUUUUGUGUCAUUUCAAAACUUUUAAUAUUAUUUUUAAGAGGUUUUUAACUAUAAAAGAUCUUUAUAACUUUUGAUUUUAUAUUUGAUGGUGUUUAUAAGCUUUUUCUUUUUUUAAUUCAUGAAAACACGAUCGUCUUAUUAGAAAUGAGACUCAUUUUUUUGUUGUAAAUUCGUAGGAUAAAAGUUUAAGAAAUAUAAUGUUCUUUUUAAGUUUGGAGACUUAUUAGACACAAAAGUUAAGAUUUAAGGGUGUAAUUAGUAUUCUUUUUCAAGUACAUGAAUCUACUAAACACAAAUAUAGAACUUGUAUGUCAUUGCGAGACUGACGUGGGUGAGGAGGAUAGUAUUUAUUUACUUCCUUGUUAUUGUUGUUAGCACUUUGUGUGGUUUAUGAUUUAACCAAUUCUCUUAGGCUAAACUUUUUUGGUUUUAAGGUAUUAUUAUUAGAUAUUCGUUCUUUUUUUUCUUUUGAUUGUAUUGGCAUAUGAUGUUUGGUCAAAUUGGUGUUCUGUGUUGGUGGAGUUGAGGAAUCAUUUAUUUUUUACUAUCCGUUUAAUACUUCUAUUUGGAAGACAUGCUUUUAUGAGGUGAGUAUUCACAUAAGAUGUAACAUUGAGAUACGAAACUCAAUUGGGUUUGUCACUUUAGUGCUUGAAGUGCCAUAACAAUAACAUGCAUAUCACCAGUGUUAUUGUGCACCAUCACCAGAUGAUUAGUCAAGCUGUUAGGUUUGAGAUUUUUAUUUGUUAUACUAAUUUGGCUUGAAGCUUCUUGUGUAGAGAUCCAACAACUUUCUCCCUGAGUCAUUUUCUAAUGUUUCCUUGUUGUUAUGGUAAGUGUAAGUUUGAAACUCAUAAUCUACCAAAAAGGUUGAAAAAAGCAUUUCAAGACCAAAAAUGACAACCAAGUGCAACAAACACAAUCUAACCUAAAAUGUAUUCAAAACGUGUGUACGUAUCACUUAAACUUUCAAAACGACCAAACAAUGCUUAAGUGUAAGUUUGUAAAGUAAAUGGUAUGUAAUUUAAGUCAUAAUUACCGUCUCUAGACCAAGUGAACCUUCCAUUUUGCAAUGGAAUUUCCAUGAGAGAAACCAUGUCAAUAAACUUAUUGAAUAAUAACAUUCCUCUAGUACUUCUGCCAAAAGGAAAUCUUUCCCGGGCCCAACGAGUGAUAUUAAAAUCCCCACCUAUGCACCAGGCCACGGCCGAACAAUCAGCCAAGGAAGACAAUUCGGGCCAAACCAAUUUCCUUUCUCUGCAACCACAAGGGCCAUAGACAUUUGUGAUCCAACAAACCUUUUUGCACAAAGUGAGGCAUUUGAUUGACAAAGAGAAGCGUCUUUUAAUGACCUCUGUUACAGAUAUUUUACUGCUGUCCCACAUGGUAAGAAUUCCCCCAGAAGAUCCAACAGAAGCCACAUAAUCCCAGCCAAUAUCCUUAGAACUCCACAAUGAUUUUAUAAAAGCCGAGUUCAAGGUGUCCUUCUUAGAUUCUUGAAUCAUGACUACAAUUGUUGAUGAAUUUUUUAAGUGCUGCACGUUUAGAGGAGUCGUUCAAACCCUUAGUGUUCCAGGAGACAACCUUAAUAAUGACUGGGAGGAGGAAAAGGCAGUUGCACAUCUAAUUUAAGCCAGAAUGAUUCCACAAUCACCGACUAUAGACACUAAAUCUUUAGGCAAAUCCAGGGGAAUUUUAAUAGGGAGAAUAUCUUCAUCAUUGAACAAGACAUUCAGAUCCAUCCCAUUAAUUUCUGGGACUAAUUUAGGGUCAACUUCAGUGUUGGGGACUGCCAAUUUAACUGAUCUCAACAGUAAGUUGAUUAAGUUGGGCAGUAGGAGGGACACGAGACAAGGCAUCUGCUGCUUUGUUUUCUAGUCCCGGUUUAUACACGACAUCAAAAUUGUAGCCAAGAAGCUUAGCAAUCCACCUCUGAUGUUGAGGUUGGAUAACCCUUUGUUCCAAUAAAAGUUUCAAUGAUCGUUGAUCAGUUUUCACUACAAACCUCUUGCCCAAAAGAUAAGGUCUACAGCGUUGCACAGCCAAAACUACAGCCAUUAAUUCCCGUUCAUAAACUGGUUUAGCACGAUCCCUCAUAGCUAAUGUCUGGCUAAAAUAAGCAAUUGGCCGAUGAUUUUGAAUUAAGACAGCACCUACCCCGUAUCCAGAAGCAUCGGUCUCUAUUUCAAAUGGUAAGGAAAAAUCUGGCAAUGCUAAGAUUUGGAGAGUCAUCGUAGCCAUCUUUAAAUUCUCAAAAGCUUCAGCAGCUGCAACAGUCCAUUCAUAUGCUCCUUUCUUCAAUAAUUGAGUCAAAGGAGCAGCCACACUUCCAUAAUUCAUUACAAAUCUUCGAUAAUAUCCUGUCAACCCAAGAAAUCCACGAACUUCACGGACAUUAGUGGGCACGGGCCAUUCUUUGAUAGAUCUAAUUUUCUCGGGAUCAACCUCUACACCCUUGCCCGAAAUUAUAUGGCCAAGAUACUCCACUUUCAUUUUGGCAAACCCACACUUGUGCAUAUUAGCAUAUAAUUUAUUCUCUCGCAGCACCUCUAACACCCAUUCUAAAUGUUGAAGAUUUUCAUCCAAACUUCUGCUGUAAAUUAAUAUAUCAUCAAAAAAGACUAAGAAAACCUGUGUAGGUAAGGUUUAAAGAUACUAUUCAUCAAAGCUUGAAACGUUGAUGGUGCAUUGGUGAGCCCAAAAGGCAUGACAAGAAACUCAUAAUGCCCCUCGUGAGUUCUAAAAGCUGUUUUCUUCACAUCCUUUUUACACAUUCUAAUUUGAUGAUAUCCCGCCUUGAGAUCAAUCUUCGAAAAUAUAUUAGCCCCAUUAAGUUCAUCAAACAAUUCCUCUACUACUGGAAUAGGAAACUUGUCUGGAACGGUCACACUAUUCAACGCACGGUAAUCUACACAAAACCGUCAACUACCAUUUUUUUUUCACCAACAAGACCGGGCUCGAAUAUGGACUAGUACUAGGUUUUUAUGCCAAAUGCCAUCAUUUCAUCAACCAAUCUUUCCAUCUCCUCCUUUUGCUGGUAUGCAUAUCUAUAAGGCCGAACAUUGACUGGAUUAGUCCCCUUCUUAAGAUGUAUAUGAUGUUCAAUGGUACAUUGUGGUGGCAACUCUCCAGGCCAAUCAAAAACAUCUUCAUUCUUAGCUAACACGGCUGGAAUAGACUCAUGAGUGGUAGGCACUUCAUCAACCCCAUACAUCGCUGCAAAUGCCAUUCCACCUUCCAAAGAUCUACACUCAAUCAGAAAUCCCUGAUCAAGUUCUGUCCAUGUCUUCAUCAUGUGCUUCAAACUCACCCUAGCCUUCGUAUGACUCGGAUCUCCCCUCAAUACAACCUUCUUCCCAUUUUGUAUGAAUGUCAAAGUAAGUUUUCACCAAUCUACUUCGGUUACUCCUAAUGUAUGUAGCCAUUGCAUACCAAGAAUGACAUCCACUCCCCCCCAAUUCCAAUGGCAGAAAAUUAUCCACAACCUUCCAUUCACCCAAUAGCAGUUCCACUUGUUUACAAAUUCCCUUCCCUUUUACAGCAGAUUCAGACCCCAAAAUAACCCCAUAAUCAGAAGUUUCCUGCAACUGCAACAACAAUUGAGUUACUAACUUUUCAGAUAUAAAAUUAUUGGUCGCGCCGCAAUCUAUCGAUACUACUACUGACCUUUCUCUAAUCAUACCUUUAAUUUUCAUAGUUCCAGGGUUUGUUAAUCCCACCACCGAAUUUAUUGAUAAUUCGAUCACGGGUUCUUCUGGUUUAACAACUUCAGUCUCCUGUAUUUCAGUUUCCACUUUUGAAUCCUCUUCUUCAACUACUUCUAGUUCUUCCCCAUUUGCCCCAACAACUAAAACUCUAAGUUCCUUAUGAUCUUUCACUUUACACUUAUGGCCCACAAAAAAUCAUUCCUCACAACGAAAACAGAGACCUUUCUCACGUCUAGCCUGAAAUUCAGCAUCAGAAAGUCGUUUUAGUGGUCCUUCUCGUCGAUUAGGUUCACCAGCCACUCCUCGAAGUGUAAUCAUCCGCAUUGGAACAAUCCCUCCUGACUUAUUAUCAUUAGAAAUCACAGGAAUUUGAGGUUUAAAAGAAGCAGAAACCUGGAAUUUUCCAUCCGCUGCACGUUUGAAACUUGAUUCUCCCCUUAUCACUUCUCGGUUCUCAAUCUUUUGGGCCAACUUCAUCAUUUGAGCAAGCCCCAUAGGUUCCCAACAUUCCAUGUCUGCCUUAAUCUAUGGUUUCAAACCAUUCAUAAAUGUUUCUUCUAAAACAGCCUUUUGUAGAAACGGCAAUGGUGCUACUGAUUUAUCAAAUAAAUUAUGAUAUUCUUCCAGUGUAAUUUCUUACUUGAUCUUUAAAAAUCUUCCCAGAAUUGAUCCCUCACGAUUCGAUCGAAAUCAAACAAUAAGUCUCUUCUUUAAAUCGUCCCAAUUAACAAACGGUUCACGAUCUUCAUGAGAUCUUAUACCAAUUCAAAGCUGCUCCAUCAAAACUAAUAAUGGACACAGUCAUUUUCUCUGACUCACUCAGUUUGUGUAUCUGAAAGUAUCUCUCAGCACUAAACAACCAAGAAUCAGGAUCAUUUCCCACAAAAUUUGGCAUUUCAAUUUUUUUAAAUUUGCUUUGGUCGCCUGCAGAAUCUUCACCCUCCAACUUGGUAUGUUUUUCCUCCCAUCAUCGUCCAAUCACUGACAUCAACCAUGCUGUCAACUUUACUUGAUGAUCCUUCCUUCCAUCGUUGUCUUCCCUUUGAUCAUUCCUUCGAUAUAUUUCAACAGUGUUUCUGGUUGCUGUUGUUGCUUCUUAGCCUGUACUCCUAACCACUCAAUACUCUUCGCCAAAGAUGACAUGUUUUCCUUGAUUGUUGGCAGAUCAUGUAAUUCUACUCGAAUGCCGAAUAUUUCUUGAUCUACCAUUUCCAACUUUUCCUCAAUUCGCUUUUGAGCCAUGGUAUGGAACUUCACAGAUUCGAUUUCUCCGAUACCAAAAUGAUAGAACACCAAAUAGUGUGUUCUACUAAUUUAUUAAUCAGCCAAACAUUUACAGAAAACAGGUUCUACCACAGUCUUGAAAACAAAGUACUCGACAAUUUGGAAAUUAAAAAGCCUUAGAAGAGUGAAUAUCACGCUUUGGAGAAUGCGAAAUGGACUAUGAACUGUGCAUAAGUUUUGCAAAUGAAACCUCCCUUUCUCAGUUUAUCUCCUCAUGUUUGUCCCUUGUGUUUGCAUGCUUUAGAAGAUUUACAUCAUAUUUUCUUCUCCUCCUUACAUGCAAAGAAGUGUUGGUUUGGCUUACUUUGAAUUGGGUUUUCGACUAUAGAUUUAGGAGAACGUGGUCCAGCUUAUUUUGAUGCAAUUACACAGUCAAGAUACAACACAAUUAAGUAUUAGUUGUUUUUCUGUUAUUAGCUGUUUUUCUGUUUUCAGUUGAUUUUCUGGUAUUAGUUGUUUUUCUGUUUUCUUCAAACUAAUCAGUUACAAUAAAUGAUUAGUUACACCCAAACAACUAACUGUAACUAUCAUUCACAUCUAUAAAUAACCAUUCUCCUAUUGAGAAUGAUAGAUUGAAUUCUUGGAUAAAAAAAGAUCCAAAUCCAACUUUGAAUUACAUCAUAUUUCAUGUCCCAUUCUCAAGAAGAAACCAAGACUGAUUUGGUUAAAUGCAGUAAAGGCCAUUUUACCAGAAAUUUGGUUUGAACAUAAUCAACUAACAUUUCAAAAUAAAGCUUCCUCUUGGACAAAUCGAGUCGAAAUGGCUAGAACAUGGUAGUUUUAAAUAAUCACUUUUUGUUAUUUGAGAAAAACUUCAUUUUCUCUUAUUACUGAAAAAGGAUUUGAUAAUAGGUAAGUAUAAUUUAAUAGAAAUUCUAACUAAAGAGAACUAAUUAUAAAAGAAAAUAACGUCUAAAAAGAAUAAUUAAAAAAACAACUAAGGCAACUAUACAAUACAAAUCUACACUUGGUAAUCACAACUUUCGAUCUUCCUUGUAUGGAGUAACAUUUUAAAGAGAACGAACUAAGAUAAAGAUCUAAGCAAAAACUUCAUCGAUGGCAUAAGAAAGAUGGAUGGAAACCUUAUAAUGAUACAGGUAACAAACCUUUUCAAUUGAGGUUUAGAUGCCAAACAUGUAAUAUUGUUCAACAGUAUUUCGUCAAAGUUAGUCAUUAAAAUCAAGCAAAUCAGAAAACAGAAAAAGAAUGUAGAUUUAAGAGGACUAUAUAAUAUAUCAACUAGGAAUGAAAUAGGCAAAGAUAAAAGCAAGUAUUAAGAACAAAACAAAACAUAACAAAAGUGGAAGACCAGCUUACUAUUCAAAACAGCAAAGGAGUUCCACAUCACUUGCAAGAUAGCCUGUGGAAUCACUUUCAUUCAUUGCUAUAGAACUAUCUUGGGAACUUUGGCAGAGUUGUGUUUGGAAAUUACAAUGAUGUUUAGCAAAGAUGUUUACAAUAAUAAAACUAUAACAUAAAUGUUUCAUAAUGUUUGAAGAAAAUAUAGCAAUUCAUUGCAAAUAAGAUGCAAUACCUUGAUUUUAUGGUUAAAGGUUCUAAUUGUUUUUUCUUUUUAAGCUCUUAUUUAGAAGGGAUUCACCUGUUACAAGUUGAAAUGUGAGUUGGAAAAAUUGAACAAGAAGUUAUAAUCUUACAAGCAAAUGAUCCUUAUAGAAAGAACUAACUUUAUUCAAGCAAAAUAUCUUCAAGAACAAAAUUGCAAUUACACGAUCACUUAUUAACACAAAUAAAAAUGAGGAAACAAAUUCUUAUUAGUAAAACACAUGUAACCAAUAAAAAAUGCAAAUCAGACCAAUGAGUACAAUGAAAUACAACAUGAUAACAAGACAGAGAUGCAACAUAUACUUAAAAUACACAUCAGAAAAGAAGUUGAUUCUUGGCAACAAAGAUUUUCUCUUCGAAGUGUUGCUCACAACAGUCAAUAAGUCUGACAAUUUCAAUGACUUGUAAGAAUUAUGCACAGAGAGCAAGGAUUACAAAUCCAAAUGUACGGGUGCUCGUGUGUGUUCAAUAAAGUAAAUAAUAGAAAAAUUUUCAAACAAAAACCAAGCAUAAUAAAUUUAUAUGACCAUUAAGACAUCCAUAUUCUUAUUGCUUCUCUCCCACGUUUCACGAACGUCCUCAGCCAUCUGCCAAUUCCAUUUGAAUUAUUUUUGAUAAAGCCCAUUUUCAAAAAAAAAAGUUCAAAAUGCGUGAAAAAUGCAAUUUGAGACCUAAAACGACAACCAAGUAUGCAAGUGAAACAAACUUAGUCUUAAACAAGUCCCAAAAUGGCAAUUAAGUGGGUGAAGUGUCAACAAACUUAGUAUCUCUUGAUUUGAAAUUUGAAAAAUAUUUGUAAGGUGUGAUAAAUUCAAAAUCAAAUCAUUUUAUGUUUAUGUUGUUGAAUUUAAAGAAAUCAAAUGAUUUUAAAUCAACUUUUAAAAAAUUAAAAAUUUGUUUCUUCUCUUUUCAUUUUUUUCUCAUAUUUCAUUGUUCAAGAUUUAAAUAGUUUUUUUUUUGUUUUAUCUGUACUUUUUUUUUUAUAGGUUAUGAGUUAUGAGCUUAUAGUUUAGCAUUGUUAGGUCGUUUUGAAAAUUCAAGUGAUACUCCGAAGUUAUUCUUGGAAUAUUUUUUUUACAUUAUAUUUGUUAAAUCACUAUUUAAUUUAUUAAGAGCUUGAUAAAUAACCACUAAACUAAAACCAUAGAGGAUAAUUGAUAGACCACUAGUACAUGUUCUAUCACUAACUAACAGACGGUAAAACUUUGUUAUAUUUGUGAAUAUCUUCAACAAUUUUAUUAUUUAAGGCAAUUUUUCAUAUAAUAUCGACCGAAAACUCAAAUUAAGUAAGUUAAAUUUAAAAAAAUUGUAUGAAUGUUUCGAGAACCAUUAAUUAUAAAUUCAACAUUUUUGAAUGAAAAAUUGGAUUGGUUUGUGGUGACGGCUAACAUGCAUGUCUAACAAUUAUUUUCAAUUUCUAAUACUUUUAUCCAUUGCCAAAGUUGGAAACUAAUGUUCACAAUUUUUUUUAUCUUAUUAAAUGAAAUUUCACAUUUCUUGAAAAUUUUGGAUUAUAAUUAUUUGAAAAACAAAAUUUUUUUUUUUUUUGCUUUAUCAUUACUGACAAUUUUAUCUCAGUUUUUGCAGUAAAAUUUGAUUUUUUUAGUCUAAAUUUUAAAAAUAAAAUAUUUGUUUUAGUUAUAAAGAAAUUGUUCUGGGUUUUAAAUGGGCUUUAUCACAAAUAAUUCAAAUAUAUUUUAAAUGGGUUUUUCUUCACUAAAUCCUUUAUAGUUUUUCCCUCAUCUCCCCUUCUCUCUCACUCACGUUUCCCUCAAUCAAAUAUGAAUACUACGACUGGAGUUUUAUGAAAAAAGCCAAAGCCCCUUAUCGGAUUUGAACCGAUGACUUACGCCUUACCAUGACGUUACUCUACCACUAAGUUAAAAAGGCCUAUUUGAUUCAAUUUAUGAGUAAGCCACUAGCCACGAUGAGUCUAGUGUAUAUAAUUAUUAUAAAUUAUAAAUAAUAAGAUAUGUACAUAAAUAUAUCUUAUCCACAUAGUCGCUCAUUGAGGAACUGGAUUUAUCUAAUGAGUAUAGGUAAAAUGGUUUUUUAUAUUGGAUUUGAUCAAUGCAAUGAAUUGUUUCAUCAUAAGACCGAUCCCUAAUUAAAUUGAUGAGCCCCAUCCUAACGAAAUGAAUUUGAUUCAUACAUGUACACACACGAAUUGAACAUAGAUACAUUCACCAAAUCAUUAAUAAAGCAAUUCUACUUGGUGAAGAAAUUUUUUUCAAUAAUUUGUUGAUCCCUAUCCCCAGAUUUUAAAAUUUAUCGUUUUUGAAUUUCUUGGCUUAGUGUGAGAUCGAAAUAUACCUAACCUAAUCUUAACAAUGAGUGAAUCAAUGAGUGAAAGUAUGAGAAAUGGAGUUUAAUCUCGUUUAUAGCAUAUGGCAGACCAAUCACUUCCCGAAUGGUACUAGCCUUCGUAUUAUUUAAAUAAAAAAGAAUAUUUUUUUGAAUAUUUAUUAUCUUUGUUUAUUUUAGACGUUUCUUCUAAUCACUACUAAUCACUAUUUUCAUUUGAUAUUCUAUAAUAAGUAAUAUAACUAUAUAUUCCAAUUUGCAAAUUUAUGUAUAUUAUUUAAAUUAAAUAAAUAAAUAAAAUGCAAUUGAAUUUUAAAUAAAAGAAUUUAUUCCCCUACUUCUUCUCUAACGGCUCUCUCUCUACUUCCAGUCUCUGGUCGAUAAGUACCCAAGGAAGGUAAAUUCCAGCAGAGAAAGUCGAGAGUUCCUUAAUUGAUCACAAAUCCUUCCAAAUUCUUUGUUCGUAGACUAAUUUGAAAUCCUUCCAAUAUGGAUCCAUGCUGUCUUUUAUAUCCAUAAGAUACCAAUUAGAUUGUGUUAAUUAUUGUUUAUAAGAAAAUAUUUGUGUGCAGAGUUGCGGUGGGUAAAUCUUAAUGGCUGGCAGAAAAUUGGUUCGGGAUAUAUUACUCUCAAGACAAAGUAUUUUUUAUCAGUUUACUUCCCAUGGGGUAUUUGCUCUUCCUAUGCUUUAUCCUUAUCCCAUCUUUCUCCGUUGUAGUCUUCAUAGGAUGGAUUUCUGUGGUGUAAAUUUAUUCAUCUAGUUUGUUUGAUUUAUGGUUGCAUUUAGGGAGAAGGUAAAUUACAUAAGCCAAAGUAGUUAUGGAAAACAUCUCCAAUUUACAGCAAGUUAAAGAAAAAAAAAAGAGAGAAAAACAGCAGUUGAAAAAAACUGGGCAUCUUGCUUCUUUCUUAUUGAAAGUUCGGCCGUUUCUUUCAAGUCAAAUUGACCCAAAAUGCUCAAAUGAGAUUCUUCAAUAGGAAUAUGUAAAAAAAAUAUAAUAUGUAAAAGAAUUUUUGUGAAACGUGGGAGAGAAGCGAUCACAUUAUCCUUCAAAAAAUUCAGGAGUAAAUAUUUAUGUGAAAGGACAUAUUAUUUGGCCAUUUGACCUUAUUUGUUAUUGAAUUAUUUGGUUGGAAAUGAUAAACUACACAUUAUUGUUUGCUUCAGUUGUGAUCUUGAUUAUGGGCUAUUUGGUAUUUUGCCUACAAACUGUAUAGUUAAUUAUCUGUUAGCUUUUGUUUUCCUGUCACAGCUUUAUGUUUAUGUGGCUAAUUGUAGCCGAAAGUUUUAUUUAUCAAUCUUAUUUUUCACAGCAUAAAUGAAACUGUGUUUCAAGAAUCAGGUGCUGCUACAUUAUUCAAGGAAAUUUGUCAUAGAGGUCCGUAGGUUUUUUCCUUUGGAGAUGUGAUACUAACCUGUUUGAAUAAAGGAAUCUGACUUGGUCUUUUCCUCUUUAACAUUAUGGAUUAGGUCUUUCUCUUUACCAGAUUUCGUAGCUGAAGUUUUAAGUAUCAAAGUAAUCAAACCGGUGUUAACUUCGUAUAUAAAGGUUAGUGCUAACUGCUAAGCUUAUUUCUAAGAUGAAAGAUGCUUUUAUCCCCUCCCCAAAGAAUAUCAUUACUAUUUAUGUUGUGUUUCUGCUAACUAAUUCUUGCAUAGCAUCUCGUUUGAUAAUUAAAGUGAAGUUUCUGACAUGGAGGUUUUCAAGUUGUAAUAUAUAUUUUAAUGUUUUAGGUAGAUUCCCAAACUUUGAAGAAACACUACAGUACUGAGGUAAUUGAACGUUGUAAGGCAGAGCAUCGGGCUUACCAGAGCCAAGGUAUCUUCUUCGAUAACAAGGUAAGGAUAGUCCUGAUACUACCUUUCUUUUGUUAUUGAAGUUUAUUGUUCCUUUUGUUGGGGGCUUGGUGGUUGUGCACCUAUAUUGAUUUGUACUUCUGUUAAUUAAGUAUAGUCAUUCUCUCUUGUCUGAGUAAUUAUUGUCAACCAUUUUGUUAGCAAAGGCUUCCCAUGGAAAUUCAGUUUGUUGUGCUGCAUGUCCACGAUGAUUUUCGUGAUUUUAGUUUUAGAUACAUAAAAAGGGCCUUCGCAUCACAACAUGAACGACUAUUUUUUAAUAUGAACCUACAAUACCCUAAAUGAAUGCUGGAUUAAAUUGGAUACAGGGCAGAUAGAGAGUGAGAUGGAGAGUGUUUGUGUGCUUUAGAGCCAUCUGUCUCUAAAACAUAGUUUCUCCCCCCCCCCCCCCCCUAUAAGAAGUAAGUUUAUUGAUGUAUGUAAUUUAUAAAAUUUGUUAGGUCGUUUUAAUAAUUCAAGUGAUGCUUAGAAAAUGCAACCGAGCUUAAACAAUUCUGCACAUUUUUCUAAAAUUUUUAGUUUAACCUCUUUAAUAAAGUUCGAUGGAAAUUCUUGUUUUCUUUUUGUAGGAAUAAAGGAAAAUGAAAUAUAACCAAACUUGGGAUCUUUGCAAGCAAGCUUCCACGAAGAAACUAGGUUACAAGGGGAGGUAUUCUGCUCUCCUUUUUUUUUUUUUUUCCAUCCGUAGAAUCUUGCUUAAAAUGCUUUGAGGACAAUGCAAAUUUUCAAGUGGGGGGUGGGGUUGUAGCCUUGCACAUUCCAUGUCCUUUGGGAAAUUUUCAUUUUGAAAAUUUUGCUAAACAUGUCAAAAUUUAGAAACUUUUGCAAUGCUCUAUGCUUAGAAUAAGUACCAUGUCCACUUCACUUUUUAGCAUAAAAAAGCAUGUAUGCUUAACUCAUGAGAACGGAGCUCGGAUUUGUGAUUGUAUUUGUUAUUUGAAUAUGUUACAUAUGUUGAAAAUGCAUAUAUUGAUAGCUUAGAAAUGAGUAGAACACUUGGUUCAUUUUCUGAAUAUUGUGAAUUAUAUAAUGUACAAAAGUGGUCUACGACGACAGUUAUUUACUGUCGUAAACGAAUUUCAUUGUUAUCAGGUAAUAGAUCACUUAUUAUGAACAACAAUUUAGAGAAGCUAGUAUUCGUCCAACCAUACCUAAUCUUCAGGUUAUACAAUCUCACGAGGGCUGAUAACUUUGUGAAUUUCUUACAUCAUGGGUAUAAGGGUUUUUUCGCGUCAUCAAACAUAGUGUCGAAGGUAUUUGAUGCAUUACAAGAUUGUUCUUGAACAAAUUGAACCAUAUUAAUUGUAUUAAAUAAAUCGUCGUUUUCAUCAGUUUCAUCCACUGUAUUUUCCAUCGUGUUGGCAACGUUAUCUGAGUUCAAUUCUUCACCAUGCCAGAACCAUACCUUGUAACUCUUAUCAAUUCCAUUGGCAUACAAAUGAUACCGAACUGUUGAGACAUCCUUAAGUAAACGAUUGCCGCAAUUCAAACAUGGACAUCUAAUUGAAUUAAGACCUUUGGCAUGACUCAACCCAAAUUUAAUGAACCUUUCGACUCCUAAAUCAUAUUCUCUUGACAUCCUAUUUUGGGUCAUCCAUGACUUGUCCAUUGUGUAGAGGUCUAAGUUGGCCUCGAAAUAAACCUGAUUACAAAAGAGAUUAUAGGCAACAACUUUUAAAACUCAAACUUUCAAAACGGUAGAUAAUCCUCAAAGUACUUAAUAAUUUAUUUCAUACCAUUUAGGAAUUUUCUAGCUGUAUUUGAAACGAUUGUGGUAGGAAAAAGCGUCACACAUAGACACACAAAAGUAUAUUUUCCAAAAUAGAUAAUCAACAUCAAAAUUAUAUAUACUAAAGAAAAUAUUGUAACUAUAUAUACGAAGAAAAAUAUCGUAAAUCAACAUCAAACUUAGUCCUAACAGCUGGUUUUCAGCUUAGUCUUAAAAGUAUACUAAAGAAUACUUGAUAACUCCAAUGAUCCUCUAAAUUUCAAAACCAAAUACAUGAGCGGUAUUGUUCAGCUUUUCAAUCCACCCAUAAUUUCUCACAUCUAUAUAUCAGAGUUCAUCAAAUUCUUAUCUAAAUAUGAUGCUGAUUUUUCUCCUUCUAAUGAAAGAUCAAACUUUUGAAUUUAUAACAAAAAUGUGCUAUAUGAAAAGAAAUGCCCAAAAUCAAAUGUUCCUCGUAAACAAUCAUUGAGAAAGAAACAUUAUACUUAAGAUUGAGAGAAACAAAUCCACCUAUUAACACUCAAAUACCAUGAAACAUUCUCCUAAGACUUGAGUCAAUUCAGACCUCCCCUAUUGGAUUUUGUCGACUUUGACAGUUUUAAAGAUUUUCGUCCCUAUUAAACGAAUCACUCGAAUGCCAUGAUGAAAACUAACGAAAUUUGUUACAUUAAUUUGAAAGGUUGUCUCAUUACCACAUUAGUGAUGGAACCAUCUUGAAGGAAACUUCUGGACUAGGUUCAACAACCCCCAAUUAGCAUAAAACAUUUGUUCUUUCAAGUUUUACACUCAAUUGAAGGACAAUUUCCUUUACAGACAUGAUGAAUGAUGAAGGGAAUUAGUUGACAAAUAAUUAUAACAGUAGUUUGUCUUUAGUUAGUUGAUUAGGGUAGGUUUGUAUAAGUAGUUUGGCUUACAUUGUACAAGUAAUUAGACCAAUUUUAGAUUGUACCACAGUACACUGCCAGAAAUUAAAAUUGAAGAGAAAUUAACAGUUAGAAAACAGAAAUUGGGCAUAAAUCAAAUUCACAAAAUAAUCUCAUGUAGUUGCAAGAACGAAUUAAGGUCAUAUAACAGAAAUUCAACGAUUAAUGACUGAAAUUGGGAAAAACUGAAACUCACAAAACAAUCCAAUGGAGACAAAGAAGAACUUCAUAUAGAGAGAGAAAGAAAGAGAUAAGGAAGAGAAGCUUACCGGCGGAGGGGUGACGAUCGACGCCCACGAUUUGAAGCUUCGGGUUGAUUGCAGAGGUUUGGAGAAGACGGGGGUGGUGGCGACGGGUUGGUGGAGGAGGUUUGGACGGACGGGCAGGAGGGGGUGGUGGUGGCGACGUGACUUAAGAUGGCCAGAAUUGGGAGAAACGCGAACAAGAGGAAUGGGGGAAAUUUAGGGCACAAUGCGCGCGGAUGGGAGGAAGAAAUUGGGGAAAAUUUUGUGGAAUUUGGGUUUUUUUAAAAAUAUAAAUAUGUAAUUUUAAUUUUUUUAAUAUAAAAUAAUAAAUUUUUUAAUGGUAACAUUCUAUGACAUUAAAUAACUGUCGCGAAAAGUGUUUUCCGAAAAAUUCUGUCUUUUCCCGUCAAAAACGCGAAAUUUUCUAUUUUGUGACAGUUUUUUAUUUUCCCAUUCAUUCUUUGAGAUAUAUAACUGUCAUAGUAAACAAGUUUUCUUCUAGUGUAUGUACAUAAUAAUAUGUGCGGUUGUCUUUUUUAUCUCAAUUUUAAUCCCCUCUUUUGCCAUAUUCUAAUGCCUUUUUUAUAUUAAUUUUAAAUCCCUCUUUUGGCCAUACACAUUUGUAUAAGAUUGUUUGAAAUCAAAAUAUGAUUGUUAGGUCAAGUAGAAAGCAAAGUCGGCAAGUUCUUAGAGUUCUUCACCCAACAUACAGUCGAUAAAAACAAAACAAUACGACCAAGCUGCUUAGGGUUGCAAAACCCGACCCCCGCCUAGUGGGUCACUAGAGUUCUUCACCCAGAAUGGCAGCCGGUAGAGAGGGAGAGAGGAAAAAAAGAGGGAGCCAAGCCAGCCGCUUAGGUCAAGUAAAAUGUGCGUCAAAUGAUUGUUGUGUUGCAUGUCCAAGAUGAUUUUCGUGAUUUUAGUUUUAGAUACAUAAAAGGGAUUUUGCAUCACAACAUGAAUGACUAUUUCUAAAUAUGAACCUACAAUAACCCCAAAUGAAUACCGGAUUAAAUUGGAAAUAGGGCAGAUAAAGAGUGAGAUGGAGAGUGUUUGUGUGUGCUUUAGAGUAGUUUUAAAUACAUUUUUUAGAUUUGUUUAAGACUAAGUUUGUUUCACUUGCAUAAUUGGUUGCCAUUUUAGGUCUCAAAGUGCAUUUUCACUCAUUUUGAACUUUUUGUUAGUUUGUGAGUUACGAACUUACACUUAAGCAUUGUUAGGUCAUUUCAAACACAUUUUGUGUUUGUUUGGAACUAAGUUUGUUUAGACAUUUGAUUGACAUGUUGGGUCUCCAAGUGCUUUUUUCCACACUUUUUGAAAUUUUGGUAGGUUGUGAGUUACGAACUUACGCUCGAGUAUUGUUUGGUCCGUUUGAAAGCUUAUACACAUUUUGAACUCUUUUUAAGAUAACUUGAAACUAAGUUCAUUGCACUUACAUACUUCGUUGCCGUUUUGGGUCUUGAAGUACCUUUUUCACACUUUUUGAAAUUUUGGUAGGUUGUGAGUUACAAACUUACACUUAAGCAUUACUUGGUUGUUUUGAAAAUUCAAGUGAUACUUACACACGUUUUGAAUACAUUUUAGGUUAGAUUGAGUUUGUUGCACUUGGUUGUCAUUUUUGGUCUUGAAAUGCUUUGUUCAACCUUUUUGGUAGAUUAUGAGUUACGAACUUACACUUAGGAUUUGCUUGGUUGUUUUGAAAACUCAAGUAAUACAUAGACACGUUUUGAGCACGCUUUACGUUGGUUUGCACUAAGUUUGUUGCAUUUACACACUUGGUUGCCAUUUUGGGUCUUGUAGUGCUUUUUUUACAAUAUUUGAACUUUUUUCGUAGGUUAUGAGUUACGAACCUACACGUAAGCUUUUUUAGGUCGUUUUGAAAGUUCAAGUGAUACUUAGACACGUUUUGAACUCGUUUUAGGUUGGUUUGAAACAAAGUUUUUAACACAUUUGAUUGACAUGUUGGGUCUUGAAGUACUUUUUUCACACUUUUUGAAAUUUUGGUAGGUUGUGAGUUACAAACUUACACUUAAGCAUUGCUGGGUCGUUUUGAAAAUUCAAGUGAUACUUACACACGUUUUGAAUUCAUUUUAGGUUAGAUUGAGUUUGUUGCACUGACACACUUGGUUGUCAUUUUUGGUCUUGAAAUGCUUUUUUCAACCUUUUUGGUAGAUUAUGAGUUACGAACUUACACUUAGGAUUUGCUUGGUCGUUUUGUAAACUCAAGUAAUACAUAGACACGUUUUGAGCACGUUUUAGGUUGGUUUGAACUAAGUUUGUUGCACUUACACACUUGGUUGCCAUUUUGGGUCUUGUAGUGCUUUUUUCACAAUAUUUGAACUUUUUUCGUAGGUUAUGAGUUACGAACCUACACGUAAGCUGUUUUAGGUCGUUUUGAAAGUUCAAGUGAUACUUAGACACGUUUUGAACUCGUUUUAGGUUGGUUUGAAACUAAGUUUUAAACACAUUUGAUUGACAUGUUGGGUCUUGAAGUACUUUUUUCACAACUUUUUGAAAUUUUGGUAGGUUGUGAGUUACAAACUUACACUUAAGCAUUGCUUGGUCGUUUUGAAAAUUCAAGUGAUACUUACACACGUUUUGAAUACAUUUUAGGUUAGAUUGAGUUUGUUGCACUUGGUUGUCAUUUUUGGUCUUGAAAUGCUUUUUUCAACCUUUUUGGUAGAUUAUGAGUUACGAACUUACACUUAGGAUUUGCUAGGUCGUUUUGAAAACUCAAGUAAUACCUAGACACGUUUUGAGCAUGUUUUAGGUUGGUUUGAACUAAGUUUGUUGCACUUACACACAUUGGUAGCCAUUUUGGGUCUUGUAGUGCUUUUUUCACACUAUUUGAACUUUUUUCGUAGGUUAUGAGUUACGAACCUACACGUAAGCUGUUUUUGGUCGGUUUUGAAAGUUGAAGUGAUACUUAGACACAUUUUGUUCAAGUGAUACUAUUUUAGGUCGUUUUCAAGUGAACUUUUUUCUUCUUGUAUUGACUGUUUUACUAUUUCUUCAUGAAUUGUAUUCAUGGUAUUUAUUUUCGUAAUGAAUCUUUCAUGUUUUGGUAAACAUUUCAGAAACACAUAAUUUCAGCAAUAUGUCAAAGAGUUGAAGGAGAAGGCAGAAGAACUUAAAGAUCACAUGAAGUCCUAAAAGUUAGGUAAUUUUUUGAAAACAUUUUUCUUUGUCUUGCUUAGUUUUAGUGGUAUUUGUUAACAGGCUGAGACAUACUCUUGUAUGCCAAGGCUGGAUGGCCAAUUCAAUGGAUGGCCUGAGACGGUGAAAUGAUGAGUGUAGAACAAAGUAGACAACCGAGCAGAUUUACAAGUAAGAAGAUGGUGUUUGGUCUUACUCUAAAGCUACUGCUAGAAAGGUAAUUCUCCCUUUAUUUACACAUGUUAUCUAUAUUUAAUUACUGUUUUUAUGUGAUGGUGAAUAAAUAUUUAAGUCGUUUCAAGUUUGUACAUCAUGCUUGAGUUAAUACAUUUCCCAACUCGCAUUAAUUUUAAAGUUGAGACUAAGUUUGUUGCACUUACACACUUGGUUGCCAUUUUGGAUUUUGGAGUGCUUUUUCUACAUUUUUUGAACUUUUUGGUAGGUUAUGAGUUAUGAAGCUACACUAAAGCAUUAUUAGAUCGUUUUUAAAGUUCGAGUGAUACUUAAACAUUUUUUGAACACCUUUUAGGUUGUUACAAACUAAGUUAGUUUUACAUACAGCCAUGGUUGCCAUUUUGAGUCUUGAAAGAUUUUUUUUCACACUUUUUGAAAUUUUUGGUAAGUUAUGAGUUAUAAACUUACACUUAAGCGUUGUUAGGUUGUUUGAAAACUUAUACGUGUUUUGAAUACUUGUUAGGUUUGUAUAGAACUAAGUUCGUUGCACUUACACACUUGACAUUUUAGGUUUUGGAGUGUCUUUUUCAAAAUUUUUGAACUUUUUGCUAGGUUAUGACUUAUGAACUUGUAUUGAAUAUUUGUUAGGUCGUUUUGAUAAUUCAAGUGAUACUUAGAAAAUGCAACCAAGCUUAAACAAUUCAGCUCAUUUUUCUAAAAUUUUUAGUUUAACCUAUUUAAUAAAAUUCGAUGGAAAUUCUUGUUUUCUUUUUGUAGGAAUAAAAGGAAAUGAAAUAUAACCAAACUUGGGAUCUUUGCAAGCAAUCUUCCAUGAAGAAACUAGGCUACAAGGGGUUUGGGGUUUUAGGGUUUUAGGGCUUGAGGGCUUGGGGCUUGGGACUUGAGUUUUUAGGGCUUAGGGCUUAGGGCUUUUAGGGCUUAGGGUUAGGGCUUUUAGGGCUUUUAGGGCUUAGGGCUUAGGGCUUAGGGCUUUUGGGCUUUUUGGGCUUUUUAGGCUUAGGGCUUAGGGCUUGGGCUUUGGGCGUUUAGGGCUUUUAGGGCAUUUAGGGCGCUUAGGGCUUUUAGGUUGUAGGGCUUAAGGCUUUUAGGGCUUAGCGCUUAGGGAUUUUAGGGCAUGUAGGGCUUUGGGCUUGGGCUUUGGGCUUUUAGGGCUUUUAGGGAUUUUAGGGCUCUUAGGGCGCUUAGGGCUUACCACUGAGGGCUUAGGGCUUUUAGUGCUUUUAGGGCGCUUAGGGCUUUUAGGUUUUAGGACUUAGGGCUUUGAGGGUUUACCGCUUAGGGCGUACCGUUUACGUCUUAGGGCUUACGGCUUACGGCUUACGGCUUUUAGGGCUUUUAAGGCUUUUCGGGCUUUUAGGGCUUACCGCUUAGGGCGUACCGUUUAGGUCUUAGGGCUUAGGGUUUUAGGGUUUUAGGGUUUUAGGGCUUUAGGGUGUAAUUAGUAUUCUUUUUCAAGUACAUGAAUCUACUAAACACAAAUAUAGAACUUGUAUGUCAUUGCGAGACUGACGUGGGUGAGGAGGAUAGUAUUUAUUUACUUCCUUGUUAUUGUUGUUAGCACUUUGUGUGGUUUAUGAUUUAACCAAUUCUCUUAUGCUAAAAUUUUUUGGUUUUAAGGUAUUAUUAUUAGACAUUCGUUCUUUUUUUCUUUUGAUUGUAUUGGCAUAUGAUGUUUGGUCAAAUUGGUGUUGUGUGUUGGUACUUUUGAUUGUAUUGGCAUAUGAUGUUUGGUCAAAUUGGUGUUGUGUGUUGGUGGAGUUGAGGAAUCAUUUAUUUUUUUACUAUCCGUUUAAUACUCCUAUUUGGAAGACAUGCUUUUAUGAGGUGAGUAUUCACAUAAGAUGUAAUAUUGAGAUACUAAAUUCAAUAGGGUUUGUCACUUUAGUGCUUGAAGCGCUAUAACCAUAACAUGCAUAUCACCAGUGUUAUUGUGCACCAUCACCAGAUGAUUAGUCAAGCUGUUAGGUUUGAGAUUUUUAUUUGUUAUACUAAUUUGGCUUGAAGCUUCUUGUGUAGAUAUCCAAUCAACCUUCUCCCUGAGUCCUUUUCUAAUGUUUCCUUGUUGUUAUGGUGUAUGUUUCGACUGUUAUGGUGUAUGUUUCGACCUUUAAAUUAGUAGAAGGAAGAUGGAAGAAACUCUAGAUGGUGUUAAUAUCUUGCCUCGUAUUUCCUAAAAUUUAUGACUUUAUUAAACAUAAAGUUCUUAGUUUUUCUUUCUUUAUCCUACAACAGUUCUAUCUAACACAAAAUUCAAUUUUAUCUCCAUAGAAAGUAAACUUUAAAAGAUGUUACAAAGUUAAUACAUCAACUUGUAAAACAUAAAAGAUUAGUUGUGGCGAUGACAAAAUUGUAUACAAUACAUAGAAAAUUUCAAUCCACCAUCGAUUUCGGAUUUGCUCGCCUUUAGAAACUCUUUUAGCGUCAAGGGAAAAUAAGCAAAUGGUUAGGAAUCUCAAUUUUGUAUUUCAUAUUCAUUGGCAGCAUAUUAAAAUUUUUGGAUCUCUAGUUAAAACUCCUACAGUUGGUAGUUUCUCACGAAAUACUAUGUAUAAGCCAUUAAGUAUUUUUAGGGAUAAAGAACAUAAGCAUAUUAUAUUCAUUAUAUUCAAAAUUUGCACUAUUUAGAUCGAAAAACUAAAAAACAGAAAUUGUUUGCCAAACACAUUCACAACUCUCUACGAAUAACACAAACAAAAUUGAGAAUAUUACCAAACAACCCCUAACCUUUUCAACUCCCUGCGAACAUCAUCUUGUGUAAUAUAACCCUGUGCUUAUUGAACUGCUUGGCAAAUGAUGAAAAUGAUGUUAGCGCAACAUAAGCAACGUCAAUCUCAAAGUCAGAGGUUUGAUUCCCACGCCCAAUAUAUAGUAAAUAAAGUAAGAAUGGAACAGAUCCAAGAUAUAUAAUAUACCAUCAAAGUAGACCCAAUCAAGAGUUACAAUUGACCAAAUUUUCAGUAAAAACAGACUUGUUAUCAUGAGAGUUAGAGAGUAUUUUAUAAAGCUCAUACAGCUAGCUUUUUACAUGCAUAUUCUACAACAAAAACACUCACAAACCCGGUUGUUGUUGACUACGAGCUUACACAAUGCUACAUCCUUCGUAACCUGAAAACGGAACUUGACUUGGAUUCUCCAACAGAAUCGAUAAAAUUUGAUAAGUCCAACAAAUUCAUUAUAUAAGGUAUAGAUUAAUUGGUUUUAGCGGGUUUGGUAAGGAUAUGAAGUUGAUACUUUUCUGCAGCUUGCAGUCAUCUUGUGUAUGUUAGAUGGCUGUUGAUCCAAGGAAAGAUCGGAUGCGCUGCAGCAGCUCGGCUUUCACUGAAUCUGGAACUGAGGCUACACGACAUCAUUUGAACUAAAGUCAGCAACGAGUUUGGCUAUAACCAGAAGCACAGUUGAAUGGUUGAAUGAGAUAAGAUUAUGACUAGAUAUGCAAGUCAUCAAAACAACUCUAGAGUCGGAGUACAGAAAAAGGACAAGAAAAGUUAAUGUCAUGGCAAGUACAUUUUAUCGUGGCGAGCAAUUCACCUUCAUAAGAAAAAAUUUUAAACGUGAACAACACAUAAAUCGACCGGAACAUAAUGGACUAUGAACGUUUAAUUGGUAAAUGGCUAUGGAAAGUCUCCUCUUGUGCUUGAUUCUUUAGGUGCAGUUUAAAAACACAUUAUCCUUUGUAACAUAAUGGAUGCAAGUUUAAAUUUUUGAGGGUGUCCCUCAUGAGAACCAAUGAAAACCCCUUGAUGACUUCAAUUCUUUCUCCAUUGUGUUAAGCUUGGUGCUUUGGAAGAGUGUGAAAAUCAAACUUCGCCAGGAGUAAAAGUGAGUUUUUUCCAAGUUCUUACUGACUCGUAUUCAGAAUAUUCCUCAACAAUGACACACAUACGAAUACACACUACAUAUAUAACAAGAAUUCACCUUAACAAUUUAUAAGAAAUGAAAUUUGCAUGAGCUUUGAAUAGUUCAUGACUACUUUCUAUCAAGCAAGCAUAACUCAUCGGUUCUAUUGUUUUGGGCAAAAAAUUUUACUCAAUAUAUUUUCUAAUUAUCAAUCAUUCUCUGAGUCAUAACAUCCGAUUUGACUCCUUAUAAUUUGAUUUGAUGUAAAGGAAUUCUUCAAAUGUUAUUGACUUUUUAUAUUGGGUUGAUAGCUAUGAACUCAUACAGCUGUGGAUCCAAAUUUUUUUUAUGGGGGCUUCGUAAUUCGGUAAAAAUAAUCUGAAAAAAAAUGCAAGCAGUGGGGUUUGAACUGGGGUCUAGAGGGGCUGGAUGACAUUUUUAUCACUGGGUUAAAUAUGGUAUUGGUAUAGUUACAGUUAUGUAUAUACAUAAAGAACACAAUGUUGAGGGAGGCUUGAGCCCCCUAGACCUAUAUUAAAUCCCCCGAUAAUCUCUCAUACAUUGGCACGUGGGUCCUCUAAUUUGAUUACUCCAAAUCACCAUACUUAAGCAUACAGGAUAAUAACUGUGAGGAAUGUGGUGAGCACAUGAAUCUCACAGGCUUACAAAUGCAGGACAGAAUAUAAUUGGGUUUGUAUACAGAUAGAGUUGGUUGCACCUCAUCUUGUGUCAUAAAAGUACGUAAACUAUAAGCCUUUCUAGGAUACAUAAACGUGAAGUUUUCUUGCAUCAUAUGUAACAAUUGUUAGAGGGUGUAGCAUAUCAAGGAUCCUUUCAGCAGCAAAAGCAGUCAAAUGAUAACGUAUCAGAAGUUUAUGAUAAGUGCAACCAAUAGCAACCACUUCUAAAAUGGAAAGUGAGAACGAACCUCUGCCUUUUGGAGUAAUGACCUGCACAAGGUCAUCAACACUGACAUUGUUCCUUCCUUUCUUCCUUACAUAUGCCCUAGAGAAACAACAGAGAGAUUCAAAAGUCUUAGCCUUGGAAUGAAAGAAUUGAUAGGAUCAUGUAGCAAAUCUCCACUUCCAGGACUGUUAAUGAAAGACCCAUAGACAAAACUAGAACUGCAUCAGUUCUAAUGUUCCGUUUGAAUUAAUUUCAAUGCAACCUUUACACAUCAAGCCACGCCCUCUAGCGUUUUUCUUUCAGCAAUUACUCGUUAAUUAGUGACUAAUACGGUACAGGAAAUGAUCAAACAUUUGUAGAAAAACAACAGAAACACUAAAUCGAUACAUGAAUUUAAUGAAUACAGAGGAGAGCGGAACCUGCAAAGUGCUUUCAUCUCAUCUUUCCAGCCGCAUUCAAUGAGCCUCUCUCUCAAGAGCUCUUUCAGCCGCUCUUUCUCACCACUUUCAAUCAGCUGUCCAGGAAGAAAUCCAAUCAAAAUCAUAAAGAAAAAAAGACAAACGAACCGAAUAAACUGCAGACCUUGAUGUUGAUUGAUUCUUGAAAAGUGGGUUGGUGUUCUCGAUCAUCCUCCGGUUCAGGCGUCGGAGGCCGAUUAAUAGAAGCCCUCCUGUCGCAGCAGAAAUUAGGGCAUGGCAAUUAUAGCCACGGAUUGAAGCUUCAAGAAUUAGCCCCAUCGAUGCGAAAAUUUCAAUUUGGUAAAGUGAUGAUCUGAUGAAAGACGACCAGAAAUCUGACUGAGGAGAGACUUACAUUCAAUUAUCAAAUAUUAUGGUUAGAGAUUGUUCUUGACAAAUAUUCACUUUCACGGCGACACAGCGCGUCCAACUACACCGCGAGGAACAGCUGACUGGAGACGACGAGAAGCGGCAGAUUUUAUUAUUAUCUAUUUAUAUUAUUUUUUUCUACUGCCUUAAAGAAAAUGAAAAUACUUAAACUAAAAUGAAAUAAGAUUUAAAUACAUUAACAAAAUAGUGUUUUUUUAAAGAUGAACAAAAUAGUGUUUUUUUAAAAUGAUCAAAAUAGUGAUUAAAUCUUAUGUAGUGAAUUUGUUUUCAAUGAGAACACUUAGUAGAGACCAUAGGACGUUGUAUUUAAAAAUAACCUACUUUAGUAUUGUUUUUUAAUUUGCUCUCUAUUUAUUUUAUGGUAAUAUUUUAAAAUUUGUACAAACGUUUUUAAAUGAUAUAGUAGUUGGAUCCAAGCUUCAUGAUUAAAAAAAAAAAAACCUUGCAUAUCUAUGUCUAUGUAUCAUGUUAGUGGUGAUCUCUUGAAGUUGAUUUCAUGAAAUAUACGAGUGAUAGAGUCUUUUUCUUGUCUAACUUUCAUCGCCAAGAUAAAUAUUUCAUGUACAGUUAAUAAUUAACUAUGCUCAGGCAUGUUCAACUAAAUAACAAUUAACAUUAUUUUUUUUCUCUCAUGUUGAUUGCUCGGUCUCAUUCUUACUACAGUUAAGGAAUGUUUAAAAACGAUAGCUAAAAUAUUUAAGUGUUAGGUUAUAGUAAAAUUUACGUAACUAUGACUAGUCGCAUAAUUACAACAACCGCAUUUUAUGGAACUUCUUGUUUUCUUCUUUGAGCAUUCAUGUAUGAUUAAAUGACAAGAGAUGAUGCAUUGAUGUCAACAUCUAUGGUAGUACCAUUAGAAUGGAAUCCAGCGGGACAAACCCAACAGGUUACUAACCAUCGUCCUCAAAUAAAUAUUAGUUAGACAUAUAAGAAUAAGUCAUGUUGCACGAGUAGCUGAAAAUUUAGUUAAUUUUAUUUAACAUAAGAUCAUAAGCAAACAAUAUUAAAUUUAUAAACAUAAAAUUUGAGGCACUAAAAGAGUAUUUUCCAACUUUUCUUAGGUUAUAUUGUGAGGUAUAAAAACAUUAUGAAAUUGAUAUAUUUGUUUUUUUCUUUAAAGAAUGAACAAAAACUUUUUAUAUCAUGGCGGGAAAACCCCUCGAAAGGACAAGGAAAUGUCCAAAGAGCCCCCAUAACAAUUAAAGAAGACCUACUCAUAUUGCCUGAGCGAUAAAGUAGUACGUCAGGGCUAUUUUCGUCAUAUAAAUUUUCCAUCCUCCUCUUCCCGCCAUUACAAAUCCCCAAAAUUUCAUCGUUCAAUCAGAAUAAUCUGCUCAGAUCGAAAGCCAUUUCUCAGUCAUCGGUUCAUUCAGGUUCCGGAUAUGGAGGAAGAGGAGUUCGGCGAGGCUAUCCGACCGGAAUUUCCGACGGGACGAGUGAAGAAGAUAAUGAAGCUCGACAAGGACAUUGGCAAAGUGAAUUCAGAAGCCUUGUUUCUAGUUUCAUGCGCCACCGAACUCUUCCUUAAGCUUCUAGCUGAAAAAUCUGCAGAAUCCGCCGCUGAGAAGAAACGGAAGACCGUGAAGCUUGAACACAUUCGAAUGGCCGUCAAAAGGCAUCGCUCGAUCAGUGAUUUUCUUCUCGAUUCGCUUCCUCUUCCGUCUCAGCCGUCGGAUGCGCCGGCGAAGGACGAGAAUCGCACUCGCGCUGUUGUUGAUAAAGUGGCUCCUGAAGGAACGCGUCGAAUCGAUGAUUUCUUUCGUCGGUCAACUAAGACAAAGUCGGCGGAGACCGAGUCAUAGGCGCCCAAUCUUCAACAGGCAAAAGCUUACAAGCACACUUUAUGGCUUACUUUUUGGCGUUUUUUGUCUCGAGUUAGCAACUCCAUAUUUGACCAUUAGAGGAUAAAAUUGUUUGUUACUGAACAUUACAUGACUUAUACUAUCUUGUUCAUUUCAACAAAUUUUCAUCUUAAUUUCGCAUAAGAACAACAUUCAAAACUAUGAACACUGAAUUGAUGCAGUUGAGAUGAAGUUUGAUACAAUGUGGACAAUCAAAACGAGGGGUGGUUGUGGUUGACUUUCACUCUCUGUGUAUAAGCAUUAUUUUGUGGACCUAAAUCGAGGUUUGUACAGGAAAAAUAAUUGAAAUGAAAAAGGAAGUUAAAGACGGAAUAAUUACUCGAGUAUCUUCUCUAUUUUCCAAUAAGACAUAAGCUUAUUCGCAGGCUUGAAUGAUUCCCUCAAACUUUAUUCUGUGGGAUUAUCAUUUUGAAUGGCAUUUGAACUUGAAGUUAUGCAGUGAACUAAGGAGAUAUUGGGCCAGAAAAUGUGGAUACCACCGAAGCUGUUUCAUCUCUGACAUGAGAAACAAGGUUGUGUCGAAGAGCUAUAGUUUGUCCAGGUGAUUUUCUCCCUUCCUUCAUAAUAGAAAUGCCUUGAGUUGCUGAAUUUAUGAUGUUUGAUUCCAAUUGUUGGAUUCCAAGAGAAAUCCUUCUAUUCGAAGCUAUGGCAUUGCUAUAACCCCCAUUAAUACUAGCAUUUGAAAGACGCCGACUGCUGGUGCUUGGCCUUGGUCCAUAGAAGUUAUCUGGCUGGAUUAUGACCUGUGUUUGCACCUUUUUCUUCUCCUGCUAGAGAAAAAACCAUCAUUUAAAACCAAACCACCUACAGAAAAUUGGUAAAUAGUUUUGCAGAAGAGUAGAUAAAAUUUUGUGGUGUGGGUAUCGGGGAAAGAAGAGAUCCGCUUUCACCAUGUUGAGAUUCAUAUUUAGAAGUCUGUGACCUUACUUGAGUAGAUCUAUUCUAAAGGUUUUACAACUGUAUCCUUUAGUUCUAAAGAUUCAUAUUUAAAAGUAUGCUGCAGGGAAACAUUGAACUUACCCUUAGUCUCCUCUUCUCCUCCUCCUUUUCCUGUCUCAUGGCAUUGUAUUCCUCCAACAUUGCUAGCAAAGGCACCUGAAAAUAGGACACAUGUUUUUCCAUAAUUAACAGAUAACUUUGUAUUCUUGGCAAGGUGGGAGAAACAAAGAAAAACUACUAAGUCUUAAUUUUAGGGACAAGACAUGGAUGCUCUACAUGCUUAAGUUUUGGUAAUCUUGUAUAUCUACCAAAGUCUGUUUCAUUUGAAAUUGCCUAAGAAGGUACUUCAAUUGGUUUAUCCCAGCUUUUAAUUUUCUUUCUCUACCUUGAAUAUCUGACCCUUUUAGAUGUUUCUAGAAGAUCAUUUAUAAUAUUUAGAAUCAUUUUCUCUGAUAACAAAUACCUAUAUAGCUUACCUCAUCAUACAAGAACACUUUGCUUCUUUCUGCCUCCCAAUUCUUAGUCUUUUCCAGAAGCAAUUCCACCAAUGCUGCAGUUUACGCCAUUUUCAAGAGGAGAGAGAUAGUGAAGUCAUUUUAAAAUCCUAGUUAUAUGUUCAAAUUUCUAGAAGCUCACAUCUCUUUGGCCUGGAAAGAUAUUGUACUGAAAGAUGGUCUGGACAAUUUAAGACAACCCAUCUUUAAAGCCUUCCUUGCAGUUCAUGGAAAUUAUUGCUGAUAUUACCUGGAAUUUUGUUGACUGCUAUUCUUGCUCGUUCUGCACGCCUGAGAUUCUUGUGAGCGCCUCUGCUGACUGAGUAUCGACUUUGAUCCUGAAAGCUCAUAUUUAUAGUCAAUAUUUAUGUUUAAGAUUGCAUCAAGUAAUUCUCUUUUCUAGCUUAGAGGAAAGUUACCAACCAUACUAUAUUCUUCCAACCAGCGCUCUUCAUCACAUGCUAACAUCCAUUUCUCAACUUUCUCCAUUAUAGUCUUCCGGCUAUAUGCUUCUUCUUUUGCUCUGAAUAUCUGUUCAUCCAUGCUUGCGAGGAGAUUAGCAUGGUCAAUUUCCCCUUUUGCAGUACACAGAAGUCAGUUUCAGGAUUACUAUAGAUUAUUCUGAUUGAGCGAUGAAAAUUACUAUACAUUGAUGCCAUUACACACUGUACCAGAAUUAAUAAGAUUUAUUAUUUUUUCCAUUUCCGAUCUUGAAGGUAUCUCCAUGUGCGAUUUGUUACAUAUAUCUUCCAGAUCCUUCUGUUUCUUGAUAAACAGCUCUUUCAUCUUGCUUGCUUUUAGUUGAUCAAGCCGUCUGACUUCAGCCUCAGCCUUGAAAUAUUUUAUCUCACGUAAUUAGCACCUAAUUCAUUAAAUUUUUUAUUUACCUACACCACACGUUGGUAAUACCUGCUCGAUUAUAUCUACCGCAAGGCUCCCAGGUUCAGAUAUUUCAGUUGACGAGACUGAUAAUAGACGAAUUACAUGGGAAAACAAUCGGCGAUCACCAUAAGGUGAAUCCAUAAGAUCCCACAAGUUUGUCAAUGCUUUCCCAAGAUUGUGAAGCUGCAGAAAACAUUGCAGCAAUUUAUUGAAUAGUGUCUUCUUUUACAGUAUUGGGGCAGUUGGCAUUUGAAGAUUGAAACCAUUAGUUUAGAUGUAGGUAAACGAUGACUGCUGGUUUCACUUAGUUUUUGAUGACUUUGUGUUUUUUUAUACUACAGUAACAUUUGUGUUUAAGUUUGUGAUAAUUUUGUGCUUUUCAUACUCGCAUACAAUUAUGGUAGUGAUCAGAUUUAGCUCUAGCAGUUGAACUUUUUCUAUUUUUGGAUGUAGCAUAAAUAUGUCGUUUGGUAAGUACAAGUUUUUAUCACCUUUUCAAGUCGUUGCUGUUUUUCGUCCUUAAGAGACUCCACAGUGCAUUUAAGCUUUUCUAAAAUGGAGUCGCUAAUGUUCUUUGAUCUUCCAAACGGGUCGUCCAGGCUUGGGUGAAUCUUGGUGAUAAUCGUGGAAGCAUCCAUCCCCAGUGUUGCAGACAAUUUGUGGACUGUGUCUAUGUAUUUCCCCACUCUCUGAAGCCUUUCAUUCUAUCAAAAAGAAAAUCGAGAAGAAUGGGUAUGCAAACAAACUUAGAAGUUGAAAACAUCCUGUGUUGUGUGUGUCAUGUCAUGUAUGCGUGUUUCCAUUUAUAGAAAAAUCUUAACUAUAUGUGGCUCAAAUAAGCACCUUUUCACUGUGAAGUCUCUGUAACUCAUUCUGAUAUUCCUCAAGUUUAUUCAGGGAAAGAUCAUUCUCAUUCACAAUGACAACAGGCGAGGAAUCAUCACACUCUGACUGGCCCCCUAUUUCUGCAGAGAUUUUGAGGAUUUGUCCUUGUACGGACCUGAACUGUUUCACCCUCUCCUCUUUUCUCAGCCGCAUCUCCCUCAGAGCUGGAGUUAUUGAAUCAAGCUGCUCUUUCAAAGUUCCCGUCAUCUUUUCUGGCUGAUCAGACACGUCCAAUCAACACAUACAAUUGGGUGAGAACUUGAGACACGUCAAAUUACAUAUAAAAAUGAUUGAUGUUAUGAUAUUAUUGUGAUAGUUUAACAAUUUAAGCAAUGAUUUGAACUGAUGGAAGAGGUUUGGUUUGGAGAAUAAUCAUCAUUGCAUACCCGUCCAGGAAGAGAACGUUCUCCAAGGGACAGCAGAAGAUGGGUAAACUCAGCCUCAGCUUCUGCAAGUUCCUGAUGAAGUCGAGCUCUAGACACAUUUGCACCAUCAACUUUUUUCCGGUAAACUUCUAAACACUCUUGUUCCAAUUCCAGAAGAACCUUCUCUCUGUCAAAUUGAUCUUCUCCCACUUCGUCCCAAAUCAUCUGUUAUCAUUAGUUUACUUUAGUUAAUACAACUAAUAAAUAGAUAGUGUAAGAACAAACAAAGUCCAUAUCCAUGCCUGCAACUCCUGAAGUAGAUAUCCACAUGAAGUUUCAAGCAUAGUUGAACUUCGCAUUCCAAUUGGAGUUUGGAAUGAAGACAUCCUUUCUUGGAAAAUUUGGAUGGAGUAUUUUCCCAAACCUCAAGCCUUCAAAGUUUGUGUUAAUCAACUGAAAAGUUGGUUGGAGAAAGAGAGAGAGAAGGGAAAGAUAGAGAGGUGGGUUUUAGUUUUUGCUUAAACGACAAGCGUAGGGUGUAUGUGACAGAGGGUGGGUAUAGUGCGUUUCGUGUAUGCUUUAGUUCAAAGGAUCACCAUUUAUCUCUUCACCUUUAUCCUUUCCUUUCCUUUUCCCUUCUCCCUCCUCUAUCAUUUCGUCUUCCAUUUUAUUAACCAUUAAGACAGCGAGUCCCCGUCUUCCUCCAUUAAUAAGAUGACCUCUCUUAUUCUCAACUCCUACAUCUCUUUUUACACUCUCCUCCUCCUACAACAGCCUAUCCCCCCACCCCAAAUAAUAAUACAACAACAAAUACAAGUGUAAAGAGAGCUAAUAUUUUUCAGAACUUGAUUCUCAAGCAACCCUCCUUUUGGUUAUGUAUACAAUAUUAGCCUUCAAUGAACGAAAUAACAGCUUUGUUUUGUUUUUCUUCUUCUUUUGAUCUCCAUUCGUGUCCGGGCCACAAUUCAUCAAAUCUUACAAACACAGACCCUAACUCAUAAAAUAUUAAAAUUUUAGAUAAGUGCCACUCACCAUUUUAGAUUGAGCGAAGAACUUUUAGACUUUCAUCAAGGUCAUACCCUUUUAUUUACUAUUAGGUCAAUCCGUUAUGGUUUAUAACUUUGAUCCUAUUUGGUAACUAUCUUGUGUUUGACUUUUGUUUUUGAAAAUUAAGUCUACAAACACUACUUUCACCUCCAAAUUUAUUUGAAAACUAAAACGAUGUUUUUAGAAUUUAAUUAAGCAUUCAAACACAACACUUGUAUGCAAAUCAAUGUAAAAACUAGAAAUGAGAUAAACUUAAUUUUGAUUAAAAAAAAGAAGAAAGAAAUGAUUACCCUAGGAAGGACGUUUGUUUCUAUAUUUUUCUUUUGAAUUGAAGUUAUGUUCUCAACAAAUUUUUAGGCUCAAAAGUAAAAGCAUUGUCUUAAGACAUGCAAGUACAGGAUAUCUUUAGUGAGACAAAUGUUGUUGGUUAUAUUCCAACUUAUAUUAUAUGGAAAUUUGUUUGCUGCUAAAACAAGAUUUUACUUUCCCCAAUUUUCUAAUGGUAGCUUUGUUUUGUCCACAUCUUAUAAUCUACCUUUUUUUUUUUUAUAAUAAAAAAGAAAAUUCUCUUUGUUUCUUAUUAGAGUUAAUCUUGUGGAAGAAGAAGUGGAAAAAGGUUAGGGAUACGAAGAGUGUGAAGGACUCAAUAAAUUGAUAAAGACAUUGGCGUUGGUGACUUCACAGCUUCAAGAGCUUCGAAGACAACUCUAAACCAACGAGUUAGCCCCUAAUAAGAUGUUGCUUCUUCAAUAGGUAUUCUAUUGUUUCCUCCAACGGUUCAAACUAUUAUCUACGCUAUUAUAUUUAUUUUUCAUCAUUCUUAUUUUUUUCAACUUUCUUUCCUUUUUCAUCCUUAUUCUAUUUAAAUUUUCUAUUUUACCCUUACAAAAAAAAA